rnacentral:tRNA from 1 species
GCCGAGGUGGUGUAAUUGGUAGACACGCAAGCUUGAGGUGCUUGUGGGCUUUGCCUGUAGGGGUUCGAGUCCCCUCCUCGGUA